CAGCCCGCCGCUCAUCAAAAGGGUGCGCGAAAUAUACGAGCCUUCCGAUCAGAUCACCGUCGGCUGCCAGCCGCAAAAAAUGGAGAAAGACGAGCCUAUGCCCAGAAUAGUUUGGUUUAUAGACGGCAAACAGGCACCUCCAGGACAACAAGAAAAGUACGGGCGAUCACUAGACGGCAGCUACACUGGCGUCUCAUUGAAUAUACCAGGACAACAGGUGGUGGACGCGGGCGGCAGCGUCCUGGUCGAGUGUCGCCUGUCGCUGGGCGAGUUCGAGGAGCG
rnacentral:lncRNA from 1 species